UACAGAGGGUGCAAGCGUUAAUCGGAAUUACUGGGCGUAAAGCGCGCGUAGGCGGCUGCCUAAGUCGGAUGUGAAAGCCCCGGGCUCAACCUGGGAACUGCAUUCGAUACUGGGCGGCUAGAGUAUGAGAGAGGGAGGUAGAAUUCCACGUGUAGCGGUGAAAUGCGUAGAUAUGUGGAGGAAUACCGGUGGCGAAGGCGGCCUCCUGGUUCAAUACUGACGCUGAGGUGACGAAAGCGUGGGGAGCAAACAGG
rnacentral:rRNA from 1 species